rnacentral:tRNA from 1 species
GCGUCCGUAGCUCAACUGGAUAGAGCACCUGACUUCGGAUCAGGGGGUUGAGGGUUCGAGUCCUUCCGGACGCGC